GAUGAACGCUGGCGGCGUGCUUAACACAUGCAAGUCGAACGAUGAAGCCCAGCUUGCUGGGUGGAUUAGUGGCGAACGGGUGAGUAACACGUGAGCAACCUGCCCUUAACUCUGGGAUAAGCCUGGGAAACUGGGUCUAAUACCGGAUAGGAGCGUCCACCGCAUGGUGGGUGUUGGAAAGAUUUAUCGGUUUUGGAUGGACUCGCGGCCUAUCAGCUUGUUGGUGAGGUAAUGGCUCACCAAGGCGACGACGGGUAGCCGGCCUGAGAGGGUGACCGGCCACACUGGGACUGAGACACGGCCCAGACUCCUACGGGAGGCAGCAGUGGGGAAUAUUGCACAAUGGGCGCAAGCCUGAUGCAGCGACGCCGCGUGAGGGAUGACGGCCUUCGGGUUGUAAACCUCUUUCAGUAGGGAAGAAGCGAAAGUGACGGUACCUGCAGAAGAAGCACCGGCUAACUACGUG
rnacentral:rRNA from 1 species